rnacentral:rRNA from 1 species
CAAUAGCGUAUAUUAAAGUUGUUGCAGUUAAAAAGCUCGUAGUUGGAUUUCUGCUGAGGACGAUCGGUCCGCCCACUGGGUGAGUAUCUGGCUCGGCCUUGGCAUCUUCUUGGAGAACGUUGCUGCACUUGACUGUGUGGCGCGGUAUCCAGGACUUUUACUUUGAGGAAAUUAGAGUGUUUCAAGCAGGCGCACGCCUUGAAUACAUUAGCAUGGAAUAAUGAGAUAGGACCUUGGUUCUAUUUUGUUGGUUUCUAGAGCUGAGGUAAUGAUUAAUAGGGAUAGUUGGGGGCAUUCGUAUUUAACUGUCAGAGGUGAAAUUCUUGGAUUUGUUAAAGAUGGACUACUGCGAAAGCAUUUGCCAGGGAUGUUUUCAUUGA